GAGGGUAUAGCUGAGUGGUAGAGAGCCUGCUUAGCAAGCAUGAGGUCCUGGGUUCAAUCCCCAGGACCUCCA
rnacentral:tRNA from 1 species